rnacentral:pre_miRNA from 1 species
ACAACAUUCGGACCGUCGGUCUACCGAGCAAUAUCACCCGCUCAGUGUAAGAUUUUCCCUUUGUCGU